GGUUGUUGACCCGACAGGUAUGGCUGCCCGCUGUUUCACCACACUGGUCGCUCGGUCCUUUCUGUGUGCUCACGGCAUUUGUGUUUGUUUGUAGGGCAGCUGCUUCGUGUGUCCCGUACAUGCGGCGUAGUUUGUGCGUGGUAAAUGCCAGCAGUGGUCGGUCCUAUCUCUCCCUCCCUCCUCCGGUGCGAAUGGGUGUGUGUCCUUAAACAGUUGCUGGAGACUGGUGGUGGCGGUGCUGGUGCCCGGGUGGUGGUUACCCUUUCUGUCUGCUGUGUCCGGGAAGGCGGGUCUCCCUUCACUGAGUGUGUGUCACGUAUGUCGGUGUUUUUGAUUGAUUUCUUAUUUUGGUGAAUUCCCCCCUGCACUAAGCCC